GGCCACUCCACUCCUCUGGACUCUGAAAAACACAAAGGAGAGAAGACCUUCCGGUCCAUCCCUAGGGUUGCGCCGCCGGCCCAUCCCCAACUAGCGAGCGCUGCCGCCGUCCGGCACUCCGGCCGACCGGACAACACUCCAGGCCUCGAGUAGCAUCUCCGUCCCCGCCCCAUCUCCAAGUCUCCAACCCCGCGCCGGUCGACAACACGCCACCAUAGGGAUCCGGUGACCCGACAAGUAAUACGAUGGCAUCCGAACCUGAGUAUGCUCUUGAGGAUGAGCUGAAUGCACGUGAACUUGCCCUUGCGAAUGUCCGUGAACUUGCGGCGGUUGCCCGUGAAUUUGCGCUUGCGGAUGCAGAAGCAUCUGCAGGAGUGAAAGCCACGGUGAAAAUGGAAGAUGUGUUUGUGAGUUGUUUGAAGAAUAUAGGCUUAAAUCCCCCUCACCUGCCGCUGCAACGAAAAUAUCCACUGACCAAGCUUUAAGUGAAGGAGGAGGUAGUAUGAUGAAGCAACUUAUUGCGAACAAAUUGAGGCAAAGUAAUGCUACAAGUGGAGGUAGUAAAUCUGAGCUUGAUAAAUACCUUGCUGAAGAUUGUGAAGAUCCCCAGACAAAACUUGACAUCCUAGCAUGAUGGAGCGUGAAUUCAUCAAGGUUUCCAACCCUGGGGAAGAUGGCUCAUGAUAUCUUGGCGAUUUCCAUCUCAACAAUGGCUUCAGAGUCUGCCUUCAGCACAAGUGGACGCAUACUUGAUGACUUCAGGACAUCUCUUACUCCAUUCAUGAUACAAGCUUUAGUGUGUACACAAGAAUGGUUGAGAUGCUCCACUGACCCGUCGACAUCCAAGAGGACAUGGAGGCAUUACAAGUAGAAAAUGAGCUGCUUGAAGAACUUGGUGACAAAGGGAAAGGGAAGCGCAAGGCUGAUGCUGCUGCAUCCUCGGCCUUGGGAAAGUCAAGCAAAGUCCGCUAACAAGUGCAACAACUCUAUAUUAUAUAUGUUCUAUUGUGCUUGUCAUCUGUAAGAUGUUAUUUGUCAAGUUGUGAGUUGUGACUGUGAUACCAUGAGAUUGAGACUUGCUAUUUGUUGUAAGAAUUAAUGUUCUCUUAUUUGUUUUGAAUUAUAAACUGCUAUCUGUGAGCUGCUGCCAUUUCCUGCUACUCUACUGUAA